CUUCUUCAAUCUGCUGCUGGAGAAAAUUAUUCGAGCUGCAGAACUUAAUCGAGCAGGUACAAUCUUUUAUAAGAGUGUACAGCUGCUGGCGUAUGCCGAUGAUAUUGAUAUCAUCGGUCUCAACACCCGCGCCGUUAGUUCUGCUUUCUCCAGACUGAACAAGGAAGCAACGCAAAUGGGUCUGGCAGUGAACGAGGACAAGACGAAAUAUCUCCUGUCAUCAAACAAACAGUCGUCGCACUCGCGACUUGGCUCCCACGUCACUGUCGACAGUCAUAACUUUGAAGUUGUAGAUAAUUUCGUCUAUUUAGGAACCAGUAUUAACACCACCAACAAUGUCAGCCUGGAAAUCCUACGCAGGAUUACUCUUGCCAACAGGUGCUACUUCGGACUGAGUAGGCAAUUGAAAAGUAAAGUCCUCUCUCGACGAACAAAAGCCAAACUAUAUAAGUCGCUCAUAAUUCCCGUCCUGCUAUAUGGUGCAGAGGCUUGGACGAUGACAACAACCGAUGAGUCGACGUUGCGAGUUUUCGAGAGAAAAGUUCUGCGAAAGAUUUAUGGUCCUUUGCGCGUUGGCCACGGCGAAUAUCGCAUUCGCUGGAACGAUGAGCUGUACGAGAUAUACGACGACAUUGACAGAGUUCAGCGAAUUCAAAGACAGCGGCUACCCUGGCUAGGUCAUGUUGUCCGGAUGGAUGAAAACACUCCGGCUCUGAAAGUAUUCGACGCAGUACCCGCCGCGGGAAGCAGAGGAAGAGGAAGCCCUCCACUCCGUUGGAAGAACCAAGUGGAGAAGGACCUGGCUUCGCUUGGAAUAUCCAAUUGGCACCACGUAGCGAAGAGAAGAAACGACUGGCGCGCUAUUGUUGACUCGGCUAUAAUCGCGUAAGCGGUGUCUACGCCAGUAAAGAAGAAGAAAUAAGGAAACCGCGGGAAAAGCAACAAUACUCAUCGCAGCCGUGUGCAAAUUUGAUUCUAUCUCUAACUCAUUCAUUCAUUGUCUGCGGCCGACAAACAAAACGCGAAAAUUUCUGUGUGAGAACUUGUGAAGAAUACUACAAGGUCUCAGUGUACAUUCCUUAGUUGGAUUCAAUCGGCGAAGAUUUGAAGACGCGGUUUUUAGAGAAGUAUUGGAUGGAUUUCAACUGAGUUUGCUGCUUCCAGAAAAAGUAUGUGCUUUGAAAACCAAAGAAAUGGAAAAUUGUAUUGACUGCUUGAUAGAUAGAUUCAAAGGCCUUUUGGAUAAUGAGAACGUCAGGCGACGUGUGAAGCUCAAAGUUGAACUUUAUCACUGGGAGUGCCAUUGAGGGCAGAAGCAAAAGUUAAAAGACAACAAGUUAUCGAUACAUGCAUCAUGACAUUGAAGUCACUGCAGAAGAAGUUCUCGGUUUAAAAAUUUUUCACCAUCAUAUUAAACUGUAUAAAGAUAUCUUUAAUACAAUAGUAUUCAUGUCAAGUAAAUGUUGUAUGAAAGUAGGUGAGCUUGCGAUCGAAGAAAGCGAAAGUGUAGGUGCUAACUAGAGCUCCCACUCCAGGGCUCCCGAAAUCCCGGACCUAAAACUCCUCCCGGGAUAUUCGGGAUUUUUGUCCUUUUUUUUUAAACACUGUUAAUUAUUAUUUUUUCAUAAACAAAGUUGUAUUUACAAUAGAUGAACAUUGCCAAAAAACAAAUAGUAAGAAUUUAGUACUUCACUGUCUGAUCAAAGUUGCAGCACUGGUUUGAUCAGCUGUUAUUUGGCAAGUUGUAGCAUGUGCCAAGCAUACGAUCAACCGCACUGCAUUUUGCAAAUCACUUACACUUGUGCUUAUUGUAUAAAUUGUAAAAAUGGAAUGUAAGUACUAAAUAUUUUAAUUAUAAAUGUUAAAAUAACAAUUUUUCAUUCAGUUAGACAAAUCGUCAACAUGGUUUUAUUUUCUAAUAUCAACAAGUUCAGAGGAAGCCAAGUGCAAAAAAUGUAAUGCAGUCCUCAAAACAAAGGGUGGUUCAACAAAAGGAUUACACGAACAUUUAAAGGUUCAUGGCAUAAAAUUGUGCCGCGAAGCAACUCCUACAAUUGCUGUUCCCAAGAAAGUGGCAAAAAUUACUUCACAUUUUUCACCAAAAAAUGAAGAAAAUAUUCGUGCUAUUAUGGCCAGUUUUUUAGCUGUGGAUGGAUUAGCAUUUUAAACCAUUGCGCUGUCAAAACAAAUCAGAAAAGGUAUUGAAGCCACAAAAUUUAAAGUCAAUCAGAAAAUAUGUAAUGGAAUAUUUUGAAGAAUGUCGCGAAAGAGUGAAGAAAGAAAUAAUCGAUUUGAAAGUGAAAAAUAAUAGAUAUAGCAUUUCAUUCGACGAAUGGACUUCUGUGGCCAAUAAACGCUACUUGAAUUUAAUACUGCAUGGUCAAAAAAACAUAUGAAACUUGGGACUCGUCCGAAUAAAAGGUGCCGCAACUUCUGAAAACUACAUUGAUAUGAUUGAAUCUCGUUUGUAGAUUAUGACUUGAGUUUAGCAACUGAUAUUAUUUCUAUUAUCACGGAUGAUGCCUCAACUAUGUUGAAAAUUGGCAAACUCAUAGGUCCACAUCAACAGCUGUGCCUGGCACAUGGAAUACAGUUAGGUAUCCUUGAUGUGAUGUACAAAAGACAAAUAAGAAUUGAGCCAAAUGAAAUUUCUAAAUGUGAAGAUGAUGAUUCCGAAGAAGAUACGAGAGAUCAAACUGAUUGCAUACAGUUAGCUGAUAAUGAAGAACGUGGAGAACUUACGAAUUUGAUAUCAAAAAAUGAAAUUUUACAAAAAUAUGUGAAAAUGGAGUUGGAGCUCAUCCUAGAUUGUCAGACUCGGUGGAACAGUUAACUAAAAAUGAUCGAACGGUUUCAUAUGCUGGAGUCUUGUUUGAAAAAAAGCGAUGGUCGACCUUAAGGCAGAUUGCUUGGAAGAUUUUGAAUUUAAUAUUAUUAAAAGCAUUAUUAAAGUUUUAAAGCCGGCAGAGUUAGUUAUAGAAGCUUUGUGUCGCCGUGACAUGAACCUCUGUUCUGCUGAUGCAAUGAUACAUUUUAUGCUGGACGAAGUUAAAAAUGUGGACUUAUCAAUAGCUUUCAAUCUUUUUGAAUCAAUUAAAAAACGCGUUUCUGUAAGGCGCACAAUAUACACGAAUAUAUUGAAACUAUUAAUAACGGGAAAUUUUGUAAGUACCACAAAUGAACCGAAUUUAGAAGAAAUGACAAACACUAUUGAUGAAAUUGUCAAAAAGUACAAUACUAAUGAUGUUGAGAAUCGCGAUAUCGAUUUAAAAAUAAUCGAAAAUGAAAAGACAAAAAACGUUGAAGGAAAGGUUGCAAGAAACUGUCAAAGAAUCUCUCGUUUUAAAAAGAGAUGUCUCAUUAUCA